AUGGCAGUGAGUCACCUUUACCUCCCGGCUCUCACUACCGCUGCCACUGCUGGGGUGUGCUGCCAGGGCCACUUGGCUCCGUCCACACUGCCAGUGAAGUCUUGUGCCCUCUCGAAUGCUCCCACUGCUAUUGUUGCUCUUGGCACUCCUGCUGCUCAUCUGCCCCAAAUCACUCCCUCUGUUGGGCCUUUUUACUUCUGGUUUCUUCCACGAAUGUUUAUUUUUGCUCUCUCUGCUGCUUCUGUGGCUGAAGCUGAGGCUGCCCAGGCCUUUUCAUUGGGCUGCUAUAUGGGUGUUCUUACAGGGGAAGCCCACGCUCGGACCUCUGCUGUGGCACUGCUGGUGCUGCACCUGUGUUGUAUUGAUCCUGUGUUGGGAGCCCACAUCUUGCUAGUAAGCUGGCUCUUUCCAGAAGAUCUUAGCAUUUUCCAGGAGGAAAAGGAUACAGACUGGGAUGGAAUUUUCAUGCCAGCUCCAGUCCAAAUUUCAGUCAUGGUCUUGACAGCUGUGCAGUUCUGGAGCCUACUCGACCUCCACCAGCAGGCCCUGGGUGGUCUUCAAUCCACAGGUAUGUGAGAUUCAGAGUUACGUUCACGGACAUCACCACGAACUCCGGGUGCCUCUGGAGCUGCUGCAGUGGGUCAUUUCUCCACAGCGACCUUGCUUUCCAGGGUGGUGUUCUUUCCACCAGUUCUCCCCUUGUCACAUUUCUGUGAACCACACCCGCCCUGCAUGCCAACCUUCGUCCCUCUCAGAAAAACUCAUGAAAUGCAAUUCUGUGACAAUGACAAUAUGGAGAAGCUUGUAUUUGCCCUAAAUAACAUUUAAAAAGGAACUCAUUGAGUCCACACCGCGGCUCACUAGGCUAAUCCUCCGCCUUGCGGCGCCGGCACACCGGGUUCUAGUCCCAGUCGGGGCUCCGGAUUCUGUCCCGGUUGCCCCUCUUCCAGGCCAGCUCUCUGCUGUGGCCUGGGAGUGCAGUGGAGGAUGGCCCAAGUGCUUGGGCCCUGUACCCGCAAGGGAGACCAGGAGAAGCCCCUGGCUCCUGGCUUCGGAUCAGCACAGUGCGCCGGCCGCAGCGUGCCGGCCAUGGCUGCCAUUGGAGGGUGAACCAACGGCAAAAAGGAAGACCUUUCUCUCUGUCUCUCUCUCUCACUGUCCACUCUGCCUGUCAAAAAAAUAAAAAAAUAAAAAUAAUAAAUAAAAUAUCUCCU
rnacentral:lncRNA from 1 species